rnacentral:rRNA from 1 species
GUAGGGUGCGAGCGUUAAUCGGAAUUACUGGGCGUAAAGCGUGCGCAGGCGGUGAGUUAAGUCUGCUGUGAAAGCCCCGGGCUCAACCUGGGAAUGGCAGUGGAAACUGGCUCGCUGGAGUAUGGCAGAGGGGGGUGGAAUUCCGCGUGUAGCAGUGAAAUGCGUAGAGAUGCGGAGGAACACCGAUGGCGAAGGCAGCCCCCUGGGCCAAUACUGACGCUCAGGCACGAAAGCGUGGGGAGCAAACAGGAUUAGAUACCCUGGUAGUCCACGCCCUAAACGAUGUCAACUGGGUGUUGGGGAAGCGAUUCCUUGGUACCGUAGCUAACGCGUGAAGUUGACCGCCUGGGGAGUACGGCCGCAAGGUUA